GCAGCCGACUUAGAACUGGUGCGGACC
rnacentral:piRNA from 7 species